rnacentral:rRNA from 1 species
GCUGGCGGCGUGCCUAAUACAUGCAAGUCGAGCGAAUGGAUUAAGAGCUUGCUCUUAUGAAGUUAGCGGCGGACGGGUGAGUAACACGUGGGUAACCUGCCCAUAAGACUGGGAUAACUCCGGGAAACCGGGGCUAAUACCGGAUAACAUUUUGAACCGCAUGGUUCGAAAUUGAAAGGCGGCUUCGGCUGUCACUUAUGGAUGGACCCGCGUCGCAUUAGCUAGUUGGUGAGGUAACGGCUCACCAAGGCAACGAUGCGUAGCCGACCUGAGAGGGUGAUCGGCCACACUGGGACUGAGACACGGCCCAGACUCCUACGGGAGGCAGCAGUAGGGAAUCUUCCGCAAUGGACGAAAGUCUGACGGAGCAACGCCGCGUGAGUGAUGAAGGCUUUCGGGUCGUAAAACUCUGUUGUUAGGGAAGAACAAGUGCUAGUUGAAUAAGCUGGCACCUUGACGGUACCUAACCAGAAAGCCACGGCUAACUACGUGCCAGCAGCCGCGGUAAUACGUAGGUGGCAAGCGUUAUCCGGAAUUAUUGGGCGUAAAGCGCGCGCAGGUGGUUUCUUAAGUCUGAUGUGAAAGCCCACGGCUCAACCGUGGAGGGUCAUUGGAAACUGGGAGACUUGAGUGCAGAAGAGGAAAGUGGAAUUCCAUGUGUAGCGGUGAAAUGCGUAGAGAUAUGGAGGAACACCAGUGGC